GAUGAACGCUGGCGGCGUGCCUAAUACAUGCAAGUCGAGCGAACAGACGAUGAGCUUGCUCCUCUGACGUUAGCGGCGGACGGGUGAGUAACACGUGUAUCACCUACCUAUAAGACUGGGAUAACUUCGGGAAACCGGAGCUAAUACCGUAGAAUAUAUUGAACCGCAUGGGUGAAUAGUGAAAGACGGUUUUUGGGGCACUUAUAGAGGGAUCCGGGCCGUAUUGGCUAGUUGGGAGGGUCAUGGCUUUCCAAGGCAACGAUGCGUGUGCGACGGGACGGGGUGAUAGGCGACCCUAGAAGUGGACCGCGGACAAGACUACUAAGGGAGGCAGCAGUAGGGAACGGUACGCAGUGGGCGAAAGCCUGGCGCAGCAGGGGCGCGCGAGUGAUGAAGGUCUCCGGAUCGGAAAGCCCUGCUACUAGGGAAGAACAACUGUGGAAGUAAACAUGCACGGCGUGACGGUACCGAAUAAGAAAGCACCGGCUAACUACGUG
rnacentral:rRNA from 1 species